ensembl:miRNA
AAAUAUUUGGUGCUGACUGGUUGUAACAGCAACUCCAUGUGGAAGGUUUCUUAUGUCUUCCAGUGGAGCUGCUGUUGCGUGCAGAUAGUCACCCUUAUCUA